UGCGUAGGCGGUUUACUAAGUCAGAUGUGAAAGCCCGAGGCUCAACUUCGGGACUGCAUUUGAAACUGGUAAACUAGAAUACAGGAGAGGUAAGUGGAAUUCCUAGUGUAGCGGUGAAAUGCGUAGAUAUUAGGAGGAACACCAGUGGCGAAGGCGACUUACUGGACUGUGAUUGACGCUGAGGCACGAAAGCGUGGGGAGCAAACAGGAUUAGAUACCCUGGUAGUCC
rnacentral:rRNA from 1 species